rnacentral:tRNA from 33 species
UUGGGGUAUCGCCAAGCGGUAAGGCACCGGUUUUUGAUACCGGCAUUCCCUGGUUCGAAUCCAGGUACCCCAGCCAU